ACUUAUUCCCUGGCGCUGGCAGUUGUCAAACUGGGUCUUGUAGAUGCUAAGUCUCCAUAGAGGUAUCGUAGGAUAUUCUUUCUGGGAGCCCUGAGCCCAUCUAACCUCCAGUUCGUCCAUCAACUGAUUACUGCUCAGUCACCUCAGAUGAUACCACUGGGAGCCAGAGAACUGCCUAGCUGUGCCCUGCCUGAAUGUCUGACUCAUCACUCAUGGUGAAAUCAUACGUGAUGUGUAGGGAAGUGUGUGGGGCAGUGGAAGGAAUGUGGACCGUUGCCUCCCUUCGCUUGUCUGGAUGACCUUGGAUGAGGCCUCAAUCCUGGUAGUCACCUGGACUCCUCCUGAAUUUCCCGCAUGUCCUGCAGCAGUGACCCCAUCUGACAUGUUGUGUGGCUGGCUGUCCCCCAGUGAAAUCAUAGCCCUGGAGGGCAGGGUGUGUUUCUUCGUUUUCCUGCCUGGUGUGUGGAGACCCUGUGUGACCGUGGCGCAGAUCAGGAGCUCGACGGAGCUUUGCUUUUGUUGCCCAGGCUGGAGUGGAAUGGCACAAUCUCUGCUCACUGCAACCUCCACCUCCCAGGUUCAAGCAAUUCUUCUGCCUCAGCCUCCUGAGCAGCUGGGAUUACAGUGUUGGGAGAAAAGCUUGGGAUGACCGACUGCGGGGGCGAGUGGCGGUGGCCAGCUGAGGUCGGCCCUGAAGGUGCUCCUAACACAGCCUGCGAGCUGCCCACGGGGACGGACAGACGCGUGUGCCUGCCUCAUGCUGGUGUUGGAGGUCAUUUCCUCCUCAUGUGUCCAAAGAAUUACUUGAAGUAACACUGAUGGAUGGCAGCCCUGUGGCCUGGGUUCCUCCGAUACCUGUGAGGCAGUAUCUUUAACACCACCCCUACAGUCGGGGCCUUUCAGAUGCCAGGCUGUCCUGGGUCUUUUACAUGGGCCUUUUCAUGGACCAGAGUGGGGCUUCCCAAACGGCAAUCUGGAGCCCUUUCCACCAGCAUGGCAGGCCCAGGAAUGAAGGAUGCUAGUGGACACGUUGCUCAUGACCCUGACUGCAGCCUCCAGCACCCCUCUUGUUUCCUCCCCCCUCCAGCCACUUUUUUGAAACAAAAUUUUCUUUUAAUUUUUACGUACUUAAAUCAUACCAUGUUUUUAUGACUUUGACACUGUGCUAGAAAAACUCACCCUGCCACAGAGUAAGUCAAAUAUUCACCUAUGUAAUCUCUUCCCAUGCUCAUGUUUUCAUUUUUUAUACAUAAACCUUAAUUCCUUCUAGAAUUCAUUUGGGUACAUGCUGUGAUGUAUGGCUUUGUCUUUAUUCAUUCCAGCGGUUAGCCAGUUUUCCCAAUACCAUCAUUUACAGGACAAUCUAUGCUUCACCCACUGGUCUGAAGUGCCAGCUUUAUCAUAAACUAAGUAUGUGUCUGUACACGUACAUAACAAAUAAGUUUAUAUUUUAUAUAAUGCACACGUGUUUAUGGACUUUUAGUCAUCUUAACAGUUUUUCAGUCUAUCAGUCUAUUACUGUUGCAGUAACACCAUUUUAUUGAUUGUAGCUUUAUAAAGCAUUUCAGUAUCUAAGAAGAUAUAUCUCCCUCAUAAAAUAUUUUCCCAA
ensembl:lncRNA LINC02572 long intergenic non-protein coding RNA 2572